rnacentral:rRNA from 1 species
GACGGAGGAUGCAAGUGUUAUCCGGAAUCACUGGGCGUAAAGCGUCUGUAGGUGGUCAAAUAAGUCAACUGUUAAAUCUUGAGGCUCAACCUCAAAAUCGCAGUCGAAACUAUUAGACUGGAGUAUAGUAGGGGUAAAGGGAAUUUCCAGUGGAGCGGUGAAAUGCGUAGAGAUUGGAAAGAACACCGAUGGCGAAGGCACUUUACUGGGCUAUUACUAACACUCAGAGACGAAAGCUAGGGUAGCAAAUGGG